rnacentral:rRNA from 1 species
AGAGUUGAGUCCUGCUCAGGACAACGCUGGCGGCGUGCUUAACACAUGCAAGUCGAACGAUGAAGCCUAGCUUGCUAGGUGGAUUAGUGGCGAACGGGUGAGUAAUACGUGAGUAACCUACCUUUAACUCUGGGAUAAGCCUGGGAAACUGGGUCUAAUACCGGAUACGACCAAUCUCCGCAUGGGGUGUUGGUGGAAAGCGUUAUGUAGUGGUUAUAGAUGGGCUCACGGCCUAUCAGCUUGUUGGUGAGGUAACGGCUCACCAAGGCGACGACGGGUAGCCGGCCUGAGAGGGUGACCGGCCACACUGGGACUGAGACACGGCCCAGACUCCUACGGGAGGCAGCAGUGGGGAAUAUUGCACAAUGGGCGCAAGCCUGAUGCAGCGACGCUGCGUGAGGGAUGACGGCCUUCGGGUUGUAAACCUCUGUUAGCAGGGAAGAAGAGAGAUUGACGGUACCUGCAGAGAAAGCGCCGGCUAACUACGUG